rnacentral:rRNA from 1 species
GAUGAACGCUGGCGGCGUGCCUAAUACAUGCAAGUCGAGCGAACGGACGAGAAGCUUGCUUCUCUGAUGUUAGCGGCGGACGGGUGAGUAACACGUGGAUAACCUACCUAUAAGACUGGGAUAACUUCGGGAAACCGGAGCUAAUACCGGAUGAUAUUUUGAACCGCAUGGUUCAAAAGUGAAAGACGGUCUUGCUGUCACUUAUAGAUGGAUCCGCGCUGCAUUAGCUAGUUGGUAAGGUAACGGCUUACCAAGGCAACGAUGCAUAGCCGACCUGAGAGGGUGAUCGGCCACACUGGAACUGAGAAACGGUACAGACUCCUACGGGAGGCAGCAGUAGGGAAUCUUCCGCAAUGGGCGAAAGCCUGACGGAGCAAAGCCGCGUGAGUGAUGAAGGUCUUCGGAUCGUAAAACUCUGUUAUUAGGGAAGAACAUAUGUGUAAGUAACUGUGCACAUCUUGACGGUACCUAAUCAGAAAGCCACGGCUAACUACGUG